rnacentral:rRNA from 1 species
GCAAUUGGAGGGCAAGUCUGGUGCCAGCAGCCGCGGUAAUUCCAGCUCCAAUAGCGUAUAUUAAAGUUGUUGCAGUUAAAAAGCUCGUAGUUGAAGUUCUGAUUGCUCAGGUUUCCAGCCUUAGGCGGAGAUACUGACAGUCAUCCGCUUGCAAACAUAUGUUCGAUCUUCACCGGUUGGCUAUGUGAGUAAGCACUUUACCUUGAGAAAAACAGAGUGUUCCAGGCAGGUUUGUCCGGGAUGCAUUAGCAUGGAAUAAUAGAACAUGACUGAAGUCGAUUUAUUGGUUUAAGGCUUUAGUAAUGAUUAAUAGGAACAGUCGGGGGCAUUCGUACUCAGCAGUCAGAGGUGAAAUUCUAAGAUUUGCUGAAGACGAACUAAUGCGAAAGCAUUUGCCAAGGAUGUUUUCAUUAAUCAAGAACGAAAGUUAGGG